AGCUCCAAUAGCGUAUACUAAAGUUGCUGCAGUUAAAAAGCUCGUAGUUGGAUUUCUGGCCUGGUACACCUGGCCCCGAUGUCAUUCGACGCGUGCGUGCCGGUUGUGUGCCUGCCAUCCUUUCGUUUGAUCGACCGGACUUUAUUGGCUGGUUGAUCGCGCGAAUCGUUUACUUUGAAAAAAUUAGAGUGUUUAAAGCAGGCUUUUGCCGUGAAUACAUUAGCAUGGAAUAAUAAGAUAGGACUUUGGUCUUAUUUUGUUGGUUUCUAAGACUAAAGUAAUGAUUGAUAGGGAUAGUUGGGGGUGCUAGUAUUCAACGGCCAGAGGUGAAAUUCUUGGAUUCGUUGAAGACUAACUUAUGCGAAAGCAUUCACCAAGGAUGUCUUCUUUAAUCAAGAAC
rnacentral:rRNA from 1 species